AACUAAUAUACCUCAAAGCAGAGAUGCAUUUGAACGCGUUCUGUUCAUGUUCUGUUCAAAGCUUGUGCUCACGAGAGCUGUGUUCAAGUUCAAACAAUGUGCGUUGUUUGAUCACAGUACUCUGUUCAUCUCGUGGCAACCGUUUCCGUCAUUCAUUGUUUCCCUCAAACAAAUCCAGACAUACACAAAUAAUCGUAUACAUCGUUGAUUGAUUUGUGGAAAGCAUCAUAUACCUAUUUGUUAAUACUAAAAUAACGCCCAAAAAUCGACAAAACAAGAUGAGCCCAACGAUAGCAGUAUUCAAGACGAUAUCUAUAAUAUUGCUCAUUCCAGACCCACAUUCGAGUGCUCGUGAACACAUUCUGUCAAGAUAUACGAAUUUUUAGAUAGUUUCAAUAUGUUUAAAUAAAAAAUGUGCAAUUCAA